rnacentral:rRNA from 1 species
GUGCACUCUUCUAUAGGCAGGCCAGCAUCAGUUUGGGCGGUUGGAUAAAGGUCUCUGUCAUGUACCUCUCUUCGGGGAGAACUUAUAGGGGAGACGACAUGCAACCAGCCUGGACUGAGGUCCGCGCAUCUGCUAGGAUGCUGGCGUAAUGGCUGUAAGCGGCCCGUCUUGAAACACGG